rnacentral:snRNA from 1 species
AUAAAGUAUUUUCUUUGGAC